UCUUAUAUCUCAUACCAUUUGCAUGUUUGGAUUUCGAGUUCAUUAUCUGCAUCUUAUGGUUGAUUUCUUCGUUAUGGUUUUAUUUUUGGCAGAUUGUGAACAUGCUUAAUGGGUCCGAUAUCAUGACAUGCACUGUGCUGUUUUCCAAGUUCGAUCAAUUACGGCUGGAGAGAAUUGUUGGUUCCUUGGCCUCGAAGAGGAUGUUGACAUCGGAGAAGGCGUGUUUUGUUUUCUCUUAAACGAGAGAACUCAACCGGUAACCCCCCUCAUCGGUAAGAUUCAGGCGCAGAAACACAGGAUGAAACCAACCAUUUUAAUAUGGAGAUGGCAAGAAGACACUCAAGAACUUUUGGUCAUAAAUUAUCGAGAUCCCAGAGUUGCACCCUCAAGUAUCACAUCAUCGCCUGUAAGAUGAUAGCAGGAGGAUUGAUUUUGUUAGGCUUCGCGUUAGGGCCUUUUACGGCCUUCCAGUUUUGCUAGGAGAGCUCGUUCCGAUGUAAUUCACGGGAAUAUGAGAUUGUUAUGCAUACUAUUGUUGCAUGAGAAUUUUUAAAAGUCGUUUUUUGGCGAUCCC